CCGCGAUUUUCGUUUGAUGAGAAUAUCCAUAUAAGAGACACAAAAACAGAACAAUCGCACAUGAUCGUGAAUCAGAUACGGCCCACAUGAAAUACGAAGCUUCCCGUAGAACUCUUGUGCCAGUUAGUUGUCCUAUUCUCGUGAGUUUUAAAACCCGCGAGUAAGUCUGCGUCGUAUUACACAAUUAAGUUUGGAAUAAAGAAAAAGAAUUAUAUCGUAAAAACUCUUUGCGAAAUGUGAAAAAUUGUGAGACAAUGACAUGCAACUAUGGGAAUUACAUUACUAGUGGUUUCUAUGAGGAUAUUUUAUAGUGAAUCAAGUAAAUGGAAUAUGUAAUAAUUUUACUGAUAUCAGAAAAAAAUGGUAAUGAAAAGUAAUUAGUAACAAUAAUGUGGGAUUGAUGUAAAAGAAAUGAAAAUUGAUAUAACCAUGCAGGUAUAGAAAAUAUAUGCUCCUCAUAUUGUGAUGAAUACAAUCCCUCGUCUUGGAGGUUAUUAAAAACCUAUUUCUCUAGGCGUGGCAAACUUGAAUAAAGAGUUGAUCGCUGUCGGAACGUAGGCGUUAGCCGCGACACAAGAAUCUAAGCGUACGCAUACGAUUGCAUAAUCUAGGCUUUCGGGAAUGUUUAUAUACGCAUGGUGAUUCUAACUUACUAUGUUUUCUAAGUCUUUUAUUGAACACUCUUUAAGCUGGAAAAUAAACUGGGAAAGUAUGUGUUCAUGCACUCAAAUACAUAUACGGGAUAUAUAGAUAUAUAUUAGUGUGCCAAAAAAAUAGACUCUUGUUAACUUCCAAUGAUAAAACAUAUCAAAUGUUCCAAAUGGUUUCGAGAAAUAUCGUCAACACAACAUUUAAACAAUAACUGUCCUCUGAAGUUGUUUUUUCGAAGAUUUAAUCUCUUACGGCAAAAAAACUAAUGAAUAAUAAUGAAUAUUAUUGAAAAUUUAUGAAUGCUAAUGAGUGCUUCAUUAGUGGCCCAUGAUUUAGCAAAGUGGUACAAGCUUCAACUGUUAUGCAGAAGGAUCCAGGUUCGAGCCCCAGUAAUGACGAUUAAUUUUUCAUCGAUAAAAAUAUUAAUAUAUCAAUUAAUCAGUACAAAUAGUAAUCCAAAAAUAUAUAAUUGGAUUCAAAUUAUAAAAAAAAUUUUAAAAAAAGGUUUUUUUCUAAUAAACUCAAACAUCACCAAACUGAAUGAUUCUAAUAUUUUAGCAUUAAAGGCUGAAAAAUUGCAUUGAAUGCUGCUUUAUACAUCGAAAUCAGUUAAAGAGCUAAAAAAUAACAAAAGUACUCAAAGGAAUUAAUGAGUUUGAACAGCUCGAACAUGCAUCGAAAUUAAUGUUUUCGAGCUCCUUGAGCUUCAAAACAGCCAGAAGAUUCGGGGCUAGACCGUAGAGUCAACCGUUUUUCAAUUUUUUUUUUAAUCUAUUAAUUAGUUAAACAAUAAAAAUUUAAAAUUUAUGGAUUAAUCACUUCAGUUAUUAAUCGAUGAUAUAAUCAUGAUGAAAUAAUCGUGAUUUUAUCUUGAAAGUCCACUCUUAUGGAUUUAGAGUAGAGCAAAGGCAAGAAAUAAGCUUAAUACUUUCUCCUCACCAGCAUCUAACCUUUGAAACUCGAUAUACAGCGAGCAGAAACAUGCGUGUGUAAUCCCCUGGGAAGUGACUGUAAAUCACAGAUUUCUCAUUCUCUAACAGUUUUCCGCAUCAUCGGUUUGAAAUUAACUUGUUUCUUAGUGGCUGCUGACACUGAACUUUGAAGUUCCGAUGCAGACAAAAUGACUGCCCAGUGAAGCUGACAGCUAGAUUAGAUGCUUUCAGCAAAUCAUUUACGUUAAAAAGUGGAUCUACGAACACAAUCAUGAUCCAAAUUAUGAAAGUACCGAUCGGAUGAGAAAGAUGACCAAGAGGCUGAAGAAAGACGAAGGAAAUAGCGAAGAAAAAGUAAAAAAACGAGAUGAAAAUUUUCUUGGACUAUGACGCAUACCAAUACAUACUAGACUUUUUAGUCAUGAAAUUGCUUAAUCAAUCAAAAAAGAAAUAAUUUUAAAAAACAAAAAAUUCAAAUAUGUCAUCGAGCAAAACUUAAAAAAAAAUCUGACUAUCGGUUGACCCUGCGGGCCAGCCCCAAAACUUCCCGCUGUUUUCGAGCUCCUUGAGCUCGAAAACAUUGUUGUAAGUACAUUUUCGAGCUCUUCGAGCUCGAAAAUACUAUUGUAUCCCAUUCUUUUCGAAAAAAACCGUUUUUAGCAUUUCUUUCUCCCACGAUAUCUCACGAACGAAUCGACUGAUUUCAAUGGUUGAGGCGGCAAUUGACGUGUUUUAUUGAGUUCUAGAGCUGAUCAAAUUUUGAAAUUGUUUGGUUAAGUCGUUUCAAAGAUAUUCGCAAAAAACCGUUUUUUGGCAUUUCUUUUGCCCACGAUAUCUCACGAACGAAUGAACCGAUUUUGAUGGUUGAGGCGGCAAUCGACGCGUUUUAUUGAGUUAUAGAGCUGAUUAGAUUUUGAAGUCGAUCGUUCGAGUCGUUUCUGAGAAAUCAAUAAAAAACUAAAAAAAAAAAAAUUUUUUUUCCGUAAUUCGCCAAUAUUUUCGAGUCUACUUGAUCAAAUGAUCCGAAAUUUUCAGAAAAAUUGAUGGCCAACAAGCUCUUUCGAUUGCCGCCUUAACCAUCCAAAUCGGUUCAUUAGUUAAAAAGUUAUAAGCCGGUCACACACACACACACACACACACACACACACACACACACACACACACACACACACACACACACACACACACACACACACACACACACAUACAUGCAUGCAUACAGACAUCGCUCUAAAAAUGUCAGAAUAGCAUCCUAGCACCUUCAAACGUCGACAUAUGAUGAAAACCCGAUUUUCGAAAAUCGGGGUGAAACCAAUACCUUCCCGAAUUUUUUGAAAAUCGUCAAUUUUUUCAGCGGGAAGUUAAAAAAAUUAAAAUUCCAAGUAAUAAUAAGAAAAAAAACAAUUAAGGAAAGCAGUUUGUUUGUUCGUCUCUUUUUAUUUCUCUUUUCUUUUAAGAAUUACAUUUUUUGAUAAAAAAAAACUAACUCCAAGAACAAUUCAAUUAUAUCAAAUUAACCGAAAAUUAUGGAUUUUUUUAAAACUUAUUAAACUACCACUUCUUCAAGUUUUCAAAAUUCAUAACUUACGAAGUUUUACCGAUGGAGGCCGAAAAAUUAAUAGGUAUGCUACUUUUAACAAAUACAAAAACAUGUAAAAAAACUGAUGACUCAAAAUGGAACGCCCUAUCCAUAAAACUAUCCCUGGUGGAUCCGAAUUACGGUAAAUUACCGUAAAUUGCGGUAGUUACCUUAAUUUAUUGUAUUCGGAAAAAUUACGGUAAAAUAUGAUAUGUUACCGCAAAUUGUAAUAAGCGUCAUGCUCAUAAAAAAAAUAGUCUUCUGAUCGAUUUUAAGAACUUGACAUUAAAAUAAAAAUAACUAGAAAACAAUGCGGAAUUCGAAAAAACUUUAUGAGAAAAACUUCUAGGGAAUAAAAUUGUCUACAAAAAAGGUCCAAUGAUAUUUUGUAAUUAGUCUGAUAGUUUCGCCGGAAAAGUAAGAAAAUCUCAAAAUUUAAUAUGAAUUCGACUUCAACCUCAAAUAACUUUUGAACAAAUAGAUUCCUCAAAAAAUGAUAAGAAUCUUUCUUUGUAGAGCAUUCAAUUCCCUACAAAGUAUGCUUGGCAAUUAUUCCUAUGACGCAUCGUUAGCUACUUAUAAAAAUCAAAAGACGUAAAAAAAAUUUUUUCCAUGUUAUUCUUAUGGGAAAUAGAAAAGUGCAAUGCGGACAAUGUUAAUAUUAAUAUUAAGAGCUCUAAUUUUCAUAGGCGUCUUUUUUUAUCUAAACGAAACUUUUGAACCGGUUUGGAAGAAAAAAAAAAAUUUGUUUGUUUUUUGAAUCACCCUAAUAUAUAUAUAUGUGCUAACUUAUACGUUUGCAUAUAUGAUUAUAAAUAUGUGUAAUACAUGUAAGUUAUUUACUUAUAAACUAAUAUAUAUAAUUAAUAUAAGUAAAAACAUGUUGA